UAGGUAUAGAGAGGCGUCCGCCGCAUCGGAGUUGCAGAGGCCCCUUCCAUUCUCUCUCCUCUCUUUCUCUCUCUACUCUCUCUCCUCUUCCCUCUUCCUCCUUCCUUCUUCUCGUUCUCCUUUCUCUCUCCCUUCUCUUCAUCGUCUCCGUUCCUUCCCUAAUCGGUCGGCAAUCGCGGCGUCGUUUCGGUAGCUGGGCAAACCCUAAUUCGCGGUUUCGUUCCCCCCUCUUUCGGUUCUUCUUCCUCCAUCGGGAAAAAAGGGGCUCGCCUCGCUUCGCGUUCCGCCGCGACAGGGGAGCGAUAGCGACGACGAGAGGGAGCGCGAUUGAGGUGGGUGAAGCCGCUGGGUUCGAGGGAUUGACAAGUUGAAUGGCGAGGCAAGGUCAAGGGGCGCCGUUGGAGAAGGCAGCGCUGGACGACAUCCUAAAGAGGUUGUUGGAUUUCAGGAACGCCAGGGCGUGCAAGCAGGUCCAGCUCACCGAGGUCGAGAUCCGCCAGCUCUGCGUGGCCUCCCGCGAUAUCUUCCUCUCGCAGCCCAAUCUGCUCGAGCUCGAAGCUCCCAUCAAGAUCUGCGGUGACAUUCAUGGGCAGUAUUCUGAUCUUUUGAGACUUUUUGAGUAUGGAGGUUUCCCUCCUACUGCCAACUAUCUAUUUCUGGGAGAUUACGUGGAUCGUGGCAAGCAAAGUCUGGAGACAAUCUGCCUUCUGCUUGCCUACAAAAUUAAAUACCCUGAGAAUUUCUUCCUUUUACGAGGAAAUCAUGAGUGUGCAUCAAUUAAUCGGAUAUAUGGGUUUUAUGAUGAAUGUAAACGCCGCUUCAAUGUUAAACUUUGGAGGACGUUUACUGAAUGUUUCAACUGUCUUCCAGUAGCCGCUCUCAUAGAUGACAAGAUAUUAUGCAUGCAUGGUGGCCUUUCCCCUGAUUUGACUCAUUUAGAUCAAAUUAGAAACUUGCCACGCCCAACUGAUGUUCCAGAUUCGGGUCUACUAUGUGAUUUACUUUGGUCAGAUCCUGAUAGAGAUGUCAAAGGCUGGGGAAUGAAUGACCGAGGUGUCUCAUAUACCUUUGGCCCAGAUAGAGUGUCUGAAUUCUUGACAAAGCAUGAUAUGGACCUUGUUUGUCGUGCCCACCAGGUUGUUGAAGAUGGGUAUGAAUUCUUUGCUGAUAGACAACUGGUGACCAUAUUCUCUGCUCCCAAUUAUUGUGGUGAAUUUGACAAUGCCGGUGCAAUGAUGAGUGUGGAUGAAAGCUUAAUGUGCUCGUUUCAAAUUCUUAAACCUGCUGAUAAAAAAGCUAAAUUCCUCUGAAUGAUGAUGCCAUGAUUGCUGCUGGAGCACCUCUAAAAUUGCAAUUUACUUCACUGGUCAGGCCCUUGUAAGAUGGCAUGAAUACUUAUAGCUCGCAUCAUUUUAGUGACUCGGGCAAUAUAACUUGGAAUCGGAGGAUAAAAACAACUGCUGGUAUUGAAGCUCCCAUGGCGCAUCUUCUGUUUGAUGAUGUUACGUCUUCGGUCUUCAGAAUGGUGAUCUAGAGGGGGGGAAUGCGACGUGGGAGCUUUAGCUUGUUAAUGGCAGCAUGAAAAAGAUUUGAGUUUCCUUUUCGCGAUUAUAACUUACCGGAUUGUGGUGCCCGAUCUUGAAACGUUUGAUUGUAAAUGACAUUACAAUUGUAGAUUGUGGACGCCUGUAGAAGAAUUUUCCAUCUCACUUCUUAGAUGUAAACCUCUGUUUUGCUCAUAAAAGGGCCAGGCAAUCGUGAUUUCUUUCCUGUCUUAACGGUUUGGAUACAUAAUAUGUUGAUUUGUCUUUUCUGCUUCACAA